CGAGUGGCGAACGGGUGAGUAACGCGUGAGGAACCUGCCUCAAAGAGGGGGACAACAGUUGGAAACGACUGCUAAUACCGCAUAAGCCCACGACCCGGCAUCGGGUUGAGGGAAAAGGAGCAAUCCGCUUUGAGAUGGCCUCGCGUCCGAUUAGCUAGUUGGUGAGGUAACGGCCCACCAAGGCAACGAUCGGUAGCCGGACUGAGAGGUUGAACGGCCACAUUGGGACUGAGACACGGCCCAG
rnacentral:rRNA from 1 species